rnacentral:rRNA from 1 species
GAUGAACGCUGGCGGCGUGCCUAAUACAUGCAAGUCGAGCGAACGGACGAGAAGCUUGCUUCUCUGAUGUUAGCGGCGGACGGGUGAGUAACACGUGGAUAACCUACCUAUAAGACUGGGAUAACUUCGGGAAACCGGAGCUAAUACCGGAUAAUAUUUGGAACCGCAUGGUUCAAAAGUGAAAGACGGUCUUCCUUCACUUAUAGAUGGAUCCGCGCUGCAUUAGCUAGUUGGUAAGGUAACGGCUUACCAAGGCAACGAUGCAUAGCCGACCUGAGAGGGUGAUCGGCCACACUGGAACUGAGACACGGUCCAGACUCCUACGGGAGGCAGCAGUAGGGAAUCUUCCGCAAUGGGCGAAAGCCUGACGGAGCAACGCCGCGUGAGUGAUGAAGGUCUUCGGAUCGUAAAACUCUGUUAUUAGGGAAGAACAUAUGUGUAAGUAACUGUGCACAUCUUGACGGUACCUAAUCAGAAAGCCACGGUUAACUACGUG